rnacentral:rRNA from 1 species
UACGUAGGGGGCAAGCGUUGUCCGGAAUUAUUGGGCGUAAAGCGCGUGUAGGCGGCUCGGUAAGUCUGCUGUGAAAGUCCAAGGCUCAACCUUGGAAAGCCGGUGGAUACUGUCGAGCUCGAGUCCGGAAGAGGCGAGUGGAAUUCCUGGUGUAGCGGUGAAAUGCGUAGAUAUCAUUUGGAACGCCAAUGGUGAAAACAGGUAGCUGGGAGUGAUGCUGACGCUGAGACACGAAAGCCAGGGGAGGCAAACGGG